CUUCCUGAAGCAGCAGAAUAAGGAAAAAGACAACGUGGAUGACUGCAAGAGGUCCAAGGAUAAACUUGUCUCUGAAAUUGGGACUCUGUUGACUGAAAUUGCAUUUCUCAAAGAAGCACGAGAACAAC